rnacentral:rRNA from 1 species
CAAGGAAUUUUCCCCAAUGGGCGCAAGCCUGAGGGAGCAACGCCGCGUGGAGGACGACGGCCUUCGGGUUGUAAACUCCUUUUGGGGGAGACGAUAGUGACGGUACCCCCCGAAUCAGCCCCGGCUAACUCUGUGCCAGCAGCCGCGGUAAUACAGAGGGGGCAAGCGUUGUCCGGACUGACUGGGCGUAAAGCGCGCGCAGGCGGUUCGAGGCGUCGGUGCUGAAAGUCCACCGCUUAACGGUGGGAAGCGCGCCGAUACGCUCGAACUGGAGGGCGGGCGAGGGUGGUGGAAUUGCCGGUGUAGUGGUGAAAUGCGUAGAGAUCGGCAGGAACACCAGUGGCGAAGGCGGCCACCUAGCCCGCACCUGACGCUGAGGCGCGACAGCGUGGGGAGUGAACUGGAUUAGAUACCCAGGUAAUCCACGCCGUAAACGAUGCCGACUCGGUCUUCGUGGGGCGAAUAGCCCUGGGGGGGCCCGAGCUCACGCGCUAAGUCGGCCGCCUGGGGACUACGAGCGCAAGCUUAA